GACGAACGCUGGCGGCGUGCUUAACACAUGCAAGUCGAACGGAAAGGCCCUGCUUGCCGGGUGCUCGAGUGGCGAACGGGUGAGUAACACGUGGGUGAUCUGCCCCUUAUUUUGGGAUAAGCCUGGGAAACUGGGUCUAAUACUGGAUAGGACCAUGCUGUAGGUGGUGUGGUGGGAAGAUUAGUUUCGGUAAGGGAUGAGCUCGCGGCCUAUCAGCUUGUUGGUGGGGUAAUGGCCUACCAAGGCGUCGACGGGUAGCCGGCCUGAGAGGGUGGACGGCCACAUUGGGACUGAGAUACGGCCCAGACUCCUACGGGAGGCAGCAGUGGGGAAUAUUGCACAAUGGGCGCAAGCCUGAUGCAGCGACGCCGCGUGGGGGAUGACGGCCUUCGGGUUGUAAACUCCUUUCAGCCAUGACGAAGCCCUUGUGGUGACGGUAGUGGUAGAAGAAGCACCGGCUAACUACGUG
rnacentral:rRNA from 1 species